AAAUUUGUUUGGGCAAAACAAAAAGCCCAAUUCCUCCAACCCUUCAACCCGGGUCACACAAGAACACCAAAUCAUCAAUUCCGAAAGUCCUUGACUUCAGUAGUUCAGUAAUGUAUGCAAGGUUUCGCGAACGAAGACGGUCGCGGCGUAAUAGGAUUGACACGUUUCAAAGGCUCCAGACUCAAAAUUCUGAAAUUGAAUCAUCGAUUCGAAAAUCCAUUCAUUUUACCCUCGCGCAUGCGUAAAGUUUAAAGAAAGCAGAACUGAUGCGAAGCAAAGGAUUUAGCGAUUCGAAGCUUCAACAUGAAGAUCUCAGGUCAGGUCCAUGAUAUAAGGUUGGUUGGAUUGGUAGGCCAUGGUUGUGUGACAUGUGACAUGGUGGCUUGGAAAUGGAUUAACAUUCUUUCUUGUAUAGGUAAUGCAAUGCUUUUCUUGAGCUUGUUUAAAUGUAUUUGGAUCUGCUUGGACCUGAUUGCAUGGGCUUGAACCUGCUUGCUUUUGUUGAUUGGUUUGUUGUGCAUUAUGCAAGUCAUGACAUUACUAUCAUAUGGAAUGGAUCAGCUUGGAAUGAAAUUUUGGAGUUUCGGUUGAGCCAUGUGAAACUAGAUCAUUGAAUUUAGCUUGUGAUCCUAUGGUUGUAAUUGUAACAUGGUUUAUGUAGAACAAUUAGGAAUUGUAAUGUGAGGUUUAAGUUUGAAAAAGGGAAAUUUGAAAUCUUGGUGUAAUUUUGGGACUUGGAUAUAAUGAAUGUAAUGAGGGGUAGUUUGAAUUGAAAUUGAAUGUCGGAAUGUAAAUGGUCAAUUGGAUUGAAUGAAUGCAAUUGUAUAGUAUUUGGUUA